GGGCCGGCCCUGCUCCCUCCCGCGCGCCUCACGCCCUGCCCGCCAGGCCCCAGGCCCAGGCUCGGCGGCCGCACUCACCGCCUCGCUCCGCGCCUGCGCCGCGCACCUCGGGGACCCGCCGACUGGGCGGGGAGGUGACGAGCCGAUCAGUGGCAGAAUCCUGGGAAGAAAAGGCAAAAGGAGGAAUCAGUGUUUCGGAUUCUUGAGUCACCUGCUCUGUGGGCUAUGGAGCAUCUAAAGUCAGCCCCACACAUCACUACUGCCCAGGAUCUGUGCUUUGGGAGUGGAUCUAGAAGAUGUGGCCCUGGAGAAGGACCAAGUUUAUAUCUUCAGAAUAUAAUAGCGCCGAGUUGGGUCACAGCUGCAGCAAAAUCAGCCCGGAACAGACACACAGGAUGUAAACAAAGUGGGAACGAAUUCCGUCCGUUUUCCAAAUUUGGAGUUUGGAGCUGAAGAGUGAGAUUGUGGGUGGAUGAUCUGUUUUGGAUUCUUCUGACUUCCUGGAUUCAUACUUCAGUGAGGUGAAAUUCAGCCCAGAAUGCUAAUGGCACCAGGACGGGAAAGCCCUCGGAUUGUGCCCUCACCCCUGAGUGCUCCCGUUCAGGUGGGUAAGAAGUUACAGAGCCCUCCCCCGGGGCCCAGGCUUCGGGUGGCCUGCGGGAUUUUCACUUCCUCUGCUCCUCUCACCUCACACUGCCAGUCUUGUGUUGUAGGGGAAAAUCAGCCACAUCCUCCUAUGGUUUUCAAGAAAUUAAGCUUCUGAGUUCACCUGACCUGCUUCAUUUUUGUUGAAAAGGAACAUAAAGGCAUUUAGCAAAUCCUUUUGUCCUCACAAAGCCUGGCUUUCCAAAUCUACUGUGUCCAUCCCAAAUCACAUAAUUGGAUGUCAGAGACUGAACACUGAGUCCUUCCUCAUGCCAUUCCUGUUGUAAAAAAGAAGAAGAAGAAGGUAGCGGGAGGGGAAGAAUGAAGCGGGGGAAAUCAGAGGGGUAGACAAACCAUGAGAGACGAUGGACUCUGAAAAACAAACUGAGGGUUCUAGAGGGGAGGGGGGUGGGAGGAUGGGUUUGCCUGGUGGUGGGUAUUGAGGAGGGCACAUUCUGCAUGGAGCACUGGGUGUUAUGCACAAACAAUGAAUCAUGGAACACUUCAUCUAAAACUAAUGAUGUAAUGUAUGGGGAUUAACAUAAGAAUAAAAAUAAAAAAACAAAAACCCUAUGCCUCUUGCUCUCUGCCGAGGCGCCCCGGAAUGCCUGUAGAGAGAUCACGCAGGUGAAGAAGCAAAAGAGGAGCUUCCAUUAUUGGGUUUUCAAAACGUUUCUUGUAAUAACAGAAUCCAUGUCAAGGCAAGGGGCUCAACAAAUCCUCGGCUUCUUAGAAGACAGAAAACAUUAAAUGAAGGAAAAGGAAAGAGACCCAGUACCGAGUGUCAGGACGCGAGAAUAUGGUUUUCCUUCAAAUUUCUCAGGCAGUUUGUGCUGUUGUGCUACCCCUGACCCCUUACCCGAAGCAUCUCAGUUACCUCACCCGAAAUGGAAGCAUAGCCGGGCGCAUACCAGG